GACGAACGCUGGCGGCGUGCUUAACACAUGCAAGUCGAACGGAAAGGCCCCCACCUUGGUGGGGGUGCUCGAGUGGCGAACGGGUGAGUAACACGUGGGUGAUCUGCCCUGUACUUCGGGAUAAGCUUGGGAAACUGGGUCUAAUACCGGAUAGGACCAUGGUUUAGUGUCUCAUGGUGGAAAAAUUAUUGUUUUGGUGCAGGAUGAGCUCGCGGCCUAUCAGCUUGUUGGUGGGGUAAUGGCCUACCAAGGCGUCGACGGGUAGCCGGCCUGAGAGGGUGGACGGCCACAUUGGGACUGAGAUACGGCCCAGACUCCUACGGGAGGCAGCAGUGGGGAAUAUUGCGCAAUGGGCGCAAGCCUGAUGCAGCGACGCCGCGUGGGGGAUGACGGCCUUCGGGUUGUAAACUCCUUUCGUUAGGGACGAAGCCACACCUUUUUUGGGUGUGGUGACGGUACCUUUGUUAAGAAGCACCGGCUAACUACGUG
rnacentral:rRNA from 1 species